rnacentral:rRNA from 1 species
AUGCUCACCAUGGCUGCUGACCCGGUUAAAGGAACGACCUCCUAUGCGCAUGCCAAUCUGAGAGAUGCUUUGACAGUAUGCUACACACGCCACAAGAUUCCGCCAUCAGCUCCGCCGUUUGCAACCACCAACAGCCUUACUAGGCGUCCCGGCACGCCGACGGCAGGACACCUCCCGAACACAACUCCUGUAAUGCAUGGGCAAACAGAGGUUUUAACACCUACCGGUGCUGCUCCUGGGCCACUUCAUUUUGCAAAGUAUCUACGGGACAAGUAUCCUCAUCUAGUAUGUGCUUCCUUUUUUAGUCUUUUAUGCAUAAAUUUUCCACAUCAGUUAUCACUGAUGGUAAAUCCCUAUGUCCUCACCAUACAAUCUAUCGCAGCACUCCCUGCCACCUCCAAGUCUGUACGGUUUAGGAUGCCUGUAGCAGAAAAAAAUACAGGGACAAAGGCUUGA